rnacentral:rRNA from 1 species
UACGUAGGGUGCGAGCGUUGUCCGGAAUUAUUGGGCGUAAAGAGCUCGUAGGCGGUCUGUCGCGUCGAUCGUGAAAACUUGGGGCUUAACCCUGAGCUUGCGGUCGAUGCGGGCAUGACUGGAGUUCGGCAGGGGAGACUGGAAUUCCUGGUGUAGCGGUGAAAUGCGCAGAUAUCAGGAGGAACACCGGUGGCGAAGGCGGGUCUCUGGGCCGAUACUGACGCUGAGGAGCGGAAGCGUGGGGAGCGAACAGG